rnacentral:snoRNA from 1 species
AUCCCGGCUGAUAACUGGAUGGAUUGAUCGGUGUUCAGUCCCUUUCUGUCUUUUAAGUGUCGGGGAAAGCAACUAAAGAUGGGUUGAUAGUUUCAUGCUUUGAUGGGUAUCACUCGUUGGUACAAUAAUCAUUGAAUGGUCAUCAGCUCUCUGUUACAUUU